UUACUUUAUAACCUGGUGGCGGUAGUAUUUCGGAAGCAUCCGAGACAACAAGUUGCUGGCAGCGUUAGUCAGUUUUAAGGCUCAAAUUCAUCAAGGAAAAGCGAAACGAAGAGAUGAAAUAUUUCAAAAUGUCCUGCGUUGUACUUUUGAUGGCGGCUUUUUGCGGCACCUCUUCAGUCGAGGGAACGAAAACUGGUAGCUGUCCUGACGUCAAAUCAGACGGUCAACAAGUAGGUGGCUGUGCAAUCAUCUGUUCGAUGGACGAAUCUUGUCCUGCUAACUUAAAAUGCUGCCGCAACGGGUGCGGUGGGACGAGCUGUACGAACCCUGUUUACUAAAAAAAAGAAGAAAAGAAGAAAAAAACGCCUAUGCUACAAUCAACACAUAAAUUAUCGGAGA